CCUACGGGGGGCUGCAGGGGGGAAUAUUGGACAAUGGGGGCAACCCUGAUCCAGCCAUGCCGCGUGUGUGAAGAAGGCCCUCGGGUUGUAAAGCACUUUCAGUGAGGAAGAACGCCUGGUGGUUAAUACCCAUCAGGAAAGACAUCACUCACAGAAGAAGCACCGGCUAACUCCGUGCCAGCAGCCGCGGUAAUACGGAGGGUGCGAGCGUUAAUCGGAAUUACUGGGCGUAAAGCGCGCGUAGGUGGCUUGAUAAGCCGGUUGUGAAAGCCCCGGGCUCAACCUGGGAACGGCAUCCGGAACUGUCAAGCUAGAGUGCAGGAGAGGAAGGUAGAAUUCCCGGUGUAGCGGUGAAAUGCGUAGAGAUCGGGAGGAAUCCCAGUGGCGAAGGCGGCCUUCUGGACUGACACUGACACUGAGGUGCGAAAGCGUGGGUAGCAAACAGGAUUAGAUACCCCAGUAGUC
rnacentral:rRNA from 1 species